ACCCUUUGAUCGUUGAACUUACUUGAAUUCUAGUUUAGCUUUCAACGAGCUUUCAAUCAAUUGAAUCCCUUAAUAAAAACAAAUACAGAAAAGAAAAAAGGAUAUUAAAUAAAAUUAGGGUUCUUUCACUGGUUUGCUCACUGCAUUUUGGGGGAAAUCCUCCACUUUCAGAAUUCCUGUCACUCAUCUUUGGCGUCACCACCUUCAGUUUAUUUAGUAAAGAAGUUCGAAGUUCUGAAUUUUGUCUGGAACGUGGCCAUCACAGAUAGGUGGUAUACUUCUUUGUGGCCCUCCUGGAGUGGGGAAGACAUUAUUAGCAAAAGCUGUUGCUGGUGAGGCAGGUGUAAACUUCUUCUCCAUAUCUGCAUCUCAGUUUGUCGAAAUAUAUGUGGGAGUUGGUGCUUCUCGUGUACGAGCGCUCUAUCAAGAAGCAAGGGACAAUGCUCCAUCUGUUGUUUUCAUCGAUGAACUGGAUGCUGUUGGAAGGGCACGUGGUUUGAUUAAGGGGUCUGGUGGUCAAGAACGUGAUGCUACUUUAAAUCAGCUUCUUGUAUGCCUGGAUGGGUUCGAAGGCAGAGGAGAAGUCAUUACCAUUGCUUCUACAAACAGGCCAGACAUUUUGGAUGCAGCACUUGUGAGACCAGGGAGGUUCGGCCAGAAAAUACACAUACCCAAGCCAGCACUUGUUGAAAUUCUGAAGGUGCGGCUUGUUGCCUUCCAUCAGCAGUACUUCUCAAUUGGUAACGCACAAUUUUUUUGAUUGAAGGCAGCUUCGUCCCUAGAAUGCAAACGUGCAACACUUUAUUUUCUCAAUUGUGUUUUAGCAGUUCCACUUUUGGUUUGAAUCGGUAUUUUGAAGUGACCAUAUUGUGAUUGUAUACGUGAUAUCUUAUUAGUAUGGAUGAUAAUAUUUGGUUAUGUAAUCCACUCUUUUCCAACAA